rnacentral:rRNA from 1 species
CCUACGGGAGGCUGCAGUGAGGAAUAUUGGUCAAUGGACGCAAGUCUGAACCAGCCAUGCCGCGUGCAGGAAGACGGCUCUAUGAGUUGUAAACUGCUUUUGUACGAGGGUAAAUCCCGAUACGUGUAUCGGGUUGAAAGUAUCGUACGAAUAAGGAUCGGCUAACUCCGUGCCAGCAGCCGCGGUAAUACGGAGGAUUCAAGCGUUAUCCGGAUUUAUUGGGUUUAAGGGGUGCGUAGGCGGUUCGAUAAGUUAGAGGUGAAAUCCCGGGGCUCAAAUCCGGCACUGCCUCUGAUACUGUCGGGCUAGAGUUUAGUUGCGGUAGGCGGAAUGUAUGGUGUAGCGGUGAAAUGCUUAGAUAUCACGCAGAACCCCGAUUGCGAAGGCAGCCUGCCAAGCCAUGACUGACGCUGAUGCACGAAAGCGUGGGGAUCAAACAGGAUUAGAUACCCGAGUAGUC